rnacentral:rRNA from 1 species
AGAGUUUGAUCAUGGCUCAGAUUGAACGCUGGCGGCAUGCCUUACACAUGCAAGUCGAACGGUAACAGGUCUUCGGACGCUGACGAGUGGCGAACGGGUGAGUAAUACAUCGGAACGUGCUCAGUCGUGGGGGAUAACUACUCGAAAGAGUAGCUAAUACCGCAUACGAUCUGAGGAUGAAAGCGGGGGACCUUCGGGCCUCGCGCGAUUGGAGCGGCCGAUGGCAGAUUAGGUAGUUGGUGGGAUAAAAGCUUACCAAGCCGACGAUCUGUAGCUGGUCUGAGAGGACGACCAGCCACACUGGGACUGAGACACGGCCCAGACUCCUACGGGAGGCAGCAGUGGGGAAUUUUGGACAAUGGGCGAAAGCCUGAUCCAGCAAUGCCGCGUGCAGGAUGAAGGCCUUCGGGUUGUAAACUGCUUUUGUACGGAACGAAAAAGCUUCUCCUAACACGAGAGGCCCAUGACGGUACCGUAAGAAUAAGCACCGGCUAACUACGUGCCAGCAGCCGCGGUAAUACGUAGGGUGCGAGCGUUAAUCGGAAUUACUGGGCGUAAAGCGUGCGCAGGCGGUUAUGUAAGACAGAUGUGAAAUCCCCGGGCUCAACCUGGGAACUGCAUUUGUGACUGCAUGGCUAGAGUACGGUAGAGGGGGAUGGAAUUCCGCGUGUAGCAGUGAAAUGCGUAGAUAUGCGGAGGAACACCAAUGGCGAAGGCAGCCCCCUGGGAUAAUACUGACGCUCAGGCACGAAAGCGUGGGUAGCGAACAGGAUUAGAUACCCUGGUAGUCC